GUCUUGUCUUGUACUGAUAUCUUAUAUAAAAACGGUGCGAAAUACGGUCCUAUACUGUUAAUUGGUUCCGUAUAUCUGAGCCCGGUUCUGAUAAAAAGAAAACAUUAUAAAUUAAAAAAGCGCCAGACGAGUAUCGCGUCAUUUGCUCAUUCAGUUGUAUAGUGAGAAGUAAGCAGGGUUUAUACGCCGUUCAAUAUAGAUUUUUUUUAAGCAAAUUUUAUCAAAUAAAAAUAUAACUGUUUUGUGCUGUAUUUGUGUUACUAGUCAAAUUAAAUAAAAUGAAAUUAGUUUGGUACUGCAUCUGUUUUAUUGCGUUGUUCCUGGUGGAAACAGAAGUGGAAGCAAAUAAGGUAUGCUGGUUAGACAAAGAUUGCAGAGCCAACGGCUUUUGUUUUGGCCGAGACAGGGGGACAUCUGGAGUAUGCAAAUGCAUAGAGGAAUACGUUUUAAUAAAUCCCAGGGACUAUAAAUGUGUAAAACCUGCAAGCGCGUUGGAUGUCCAAAAUUCAUGCGAGGAUUCACUUCAGUGUGCAUCAAUUUCAAGUAAUACUCAAUGCAGCAAUGGGAAAUGUAUUUGUGUCAAAGGUUCCCGGAAAUCUGGGAAUAACUGUGUGGGAAAUAAUGGAUCUCAACUUCAUUGGUAUCCUUUUCAAAUCCUAAGCGCAAUUGCGCUAUUUCUCAUUGUAUACAAUAAUAAGUAAACGAAUUAGAUACUCAACUAAAGUUUUCAAAUUGCGAUAUGAUAUUGACAUGUAAUAUUCUUAAUACUUAGAGUGUUUUCUAUUAAAUCUAAAUGUAUUAUACUUCCAUUUACAUAUAUCAUUAUUUAAAUAUUAAUCAUAGCCAUUAACUCUGAACGAUAGUGUAUCGCAAAAAAUGUUUACUUCCUAUAUGGAAUUUCCGUAUCCUUUUUAAAAUUAAUAAUCGACAGAACAACAAACACAAUGGGUUUAUUCAUUUAACGGAUAGCCACAAUAUAAAUUAUUCUGUUAAUAAUCAAAACCGGAGUUGAGAUACUCUGCAUUGACCUUUAAGUCUUAAAAUAAACUUAUCAUGUGGAAUGCGUGCAAGUAUACAUUUAAGUUCAUUUAUUUAUUAUUUAGCGACCAAUUUAUUUAUAAUCCACUUUAUAAUAAAAAAGCCUUCAAUUUAAAAC